rnacentral:rRNA from 1 species
UACGGGGGGAGCAAGCGUUGUUCGGAUUUACUGGGCGUAAAGGGCGCGUAGGCGGUCAGCACAAGUCAGUUGUGAAAUCUCCGGGCUUAACUCGGAAAGGUCAACUGAUACUGUGCGACUAGAGUGCAGAAGGGGCAACUGGAAUUCUCGGUGUAGCGGUGAAAUGCGUAGAUAUCGAGAGGAACACCUGCGGCGAAGGCGGGUCUCUGGACAGUUCCUGACGCUGAGGCACGAAGGUCAGGGGAGCAAACGGG